UUACACCUUCUCACCGUGAGGGACGGGGGGAGGAGGAGGAGGAGGAGGCGGUUGGGGGGGGUCCGCUGGCGAAAUAAAACGUCUAGAUUUUGUCCACUUUCAGGGGAGGACGUAGUUCUGGCGACGGGCGAGGGGGCAGAAGUACGUUUACACGGUCCGGGGAGCAAGUGGAGGGCAGCGAAGCCGAGCCGCGAGCCCUUUGUGGAGGAACAGCUCUGUUAUGGCAUGGUGUACCAACUGAUGCGUGAAGUCCGAUCCGAGCGAAAAACACGGCGAACGGACGGCCUUCCUCCCCGCACCCCGGGCUCCCGCCACCCCCCGCGGACUUCUCUUUACCUUUCGCGCGGUCCUGUCCCGAUCCGGGGGCGGCUAGGGCUCUUGGAAAUCCUCGGGAAAUGGAGCCUGGAAGAAGACAGGCUCCGGCCGAGCUGAGCUGGGCAUCCGCCACAAAAGCGUCCUGAAGAAUGGCUGGAGAAUCGGGUCCACGUUUCAUAAAGGAGAUCUUACAAGAAGAAGGGGGGGGGGAAUCCCUGAAGAUGUUUCCCUUCCCCCCCGCCUGACGUUUACGUUGGAUUACUAAAUACAUCAAGACACCAGUUUUUAUUUAUUUGUUUGUUCGUUCUAAUAUUUUAAAUGCAGCACUGAACAAUUUAUGGAGGGGAAAAUGGGAGACUAAUGAAAAUAUGAAGUGUCCGACUCUCAGCCUCAGGGUUUGAGUUCUGGAAGAACAUCAUCUGAAGUCUCUCUGAAGGUGUUGUUAAAUUAAUAAGUGUGUCCGUAGCUGCAAUAAUCAUUGACUGUUAAAUGCACCCUUAUAGAAUUACAGUACUUCUGUCAGUCUUGUCCGGCAGUUCGCUUUUUAUGGUUGCUUGUGAAAAUGAGAAAUGUGUCGCAUUUUCAGAAGAGCGGUGAUUUUUAUUUAGAAGACGUUGUUACAGGUUUUCGUUGAUGAUGAUAACCCGAGCAUUAUUUUUAAAGCCAGACUUUUCCCCUCCGAAUCCUUGAAGUGACAGGCAAGUUUUAUUCUAUUAAAUGUGUGUGUAAAUUAGUUUUAUGGUCCUCAUACA
rnacentral:lncRNA from 1 species